rnacentral:rRNA from 1 species
UACGUAUGGAGCAAGCGUUAUCCGGAUUUACUGGGUGUAAAGGGAGCGUAGACGGUGUGCCAAGUCUGAUGUGAAAGGUGUGGGCUCAACCCGCAAACUGCAUUGGAAACUGGUGUACUUGAGUGUCGGAGAGGUAAGUGGAAUUCCUAGUGUAGCGGUGAAAUGCGUAGAUAUUAGGAGGAACACCAGCGGCGAAGGCGGCUUACUGGACGAUAACUGACGUUGAGGCUCGAAAGCGUGGGGAGCAAAC